GGUUGACAGGUGCUGCAUGGCUGUCGUCAGCUCGUGUCGUGAGAUGUUGGGUUAAGUCCCGCAACGAGCGCAACCCUUGUCUUUAAUUGCCAUCAUUUAGUUGGGCACUUUAAAGAGACUGCCGGUGUUAAGCCGGAGGAAGUGGGGAUGACGUCAAGUCCUCAUGGCCUUUAUGCCCAGGGCUACACACGUGCUACAAUGGGCGGUACAAAGAGAAGCAACCUCGCGAGGGUGAGCAAAUCUCAAGAAGCCGUUCUCAGUUCGGAUUGAAGUCUGCAACUCGACUCCAUGAAGCCGGAAUCGCUAGUAAUCGUGGAUCAGCAUGCCACGGUGAAUACGUUCCCGGGCCUU
rnacentral:rRNA from 1 species